GACGAACGCUGGCGGCGUGCUUAACACAUGCAAGUCGAGCGGUAAGGCUCCUUCGGGGGUACACGAGCGGCGAACGGGUGAGUAACACGUGGGUGACCUGCCCUCAGCUCUGGGAUAAGCCUGGGAAACUGGGUCUAAUACCGGAUAUGACCUUCCAUCGCAUGGUGGGGGGUGGAAAGUUUUUCGGCUGGGGAUGGGCCCGCGGCCUAUCAGCUUGUUGGUGGGGUGAUGGCCUACCAAGGCGACGACGGGUAGCCGGCCUGAGAGGGCGACCGGCCACACUGGGACUGAGACACGGCCCAGACUCCUACGGGAGGCAGCAGUGGGGAAUAUUGCGCAAUGGGCGGAAGCCUGACGCAGCGACGCCGCGUGGGGGAUGACGGCCUUCGGGUUGUAAACCUCUUUCAGCACAGACGAAGCGAAAGUGACGGUACGUGCAGAAGAAGCACCGGCCAACUACGUGCCAGCAGCCGCCGUAACAC
rnacentral:rRNA from 1 species